CCGACCUUAGCUCAGUUGGAAGAGCGCGAGACUGUAAUGGGAACGAUUGCUUGAAUAAUCUUGAGGUCGCCUGUUCGAGCCAGGCAGGUCGGA